rnacentral:rRNA from 1 species
GACGAACGCUGGCGGCGUGCUUAACACAUGCAAGUCGAACGAAGUGGCGAACGGGUGAGUAACGCGUAAUCAACCUGCCCUUCAGAGGGGGACAACAGGUGGAAACGACUGCUACUACCUCAUACUGUAGGUGGGGGUUGCGUCUGAUUAGCUAGUUGGAGGGGUAACGGCCCACAAAGGCGAUGAUCAGUAGCCUGUCUGAGAGGAUGAACGGCCACAUGGGGACUGAGACACGGCCCAGACUUCUACGGGAGGCAGCAGUGGGGAAUCUUCCGAAAUUGACGAAAGUCUGACGGAGCAACGCCGCGUGAGUGAUGACGGCCUUCGGGUUGUAAAGCUCUGUUAAUCGGGACGCGGUACCGGAAUAGAAAGCCACGGCUAACUACGUGCCAGCCGCCGCGGUAAUUC